rnacentral:rRNA from 1 species
GACGAACGCUGGCGGCGUGCUUAACACAUGCAAGUCGAACGGAAAGGCCCUGCUUUUGUGGGGUGCUCGAGUGGCGAACGGGUGAGUAACACGUGAGUAACCUGCCCUUGACUUUGGGAUAACUUCAGGAAACUGGGGCUAAUACCGGAUAGGAGCUCCUGCUGCAUGGUGGGGGUUGGAAAGUUUCGGCGGUUGGGGAUGGACUCGCGGCUUAUCAGCUUGUUGGUGGGGUAGUGGCUUACCAAGGCUUUGACGGGUAGCCGGCCUGAGAGGGUGACCGGCCACAUUGGGACUGAGAUACGGCCCAGACUCCUACGGGAGGCAGCAGUGGGGAAUAUUGCACAAUGGGCGGAAGCCUGAUGCAGCAACGCCGCGUGCGGGAUGACGGCCUUCGGGUUGUAAACCGCUUUCGCCUGUGACGAAGCGUGAGUGACGGUAAUGGGUAAAGAAGCACCGGCUAACUACGUGCCAGCAGCCGCGGUGAUACGUAGGGUGCGAGCGUUGUCCGGAUUUAUUGGGCGUAAAGGGCUCGUAGGUGGUUGAUCGCGUCGGAAGUGUAAUCUUGGGGCUUAACCCUGAGCGUGCUUUCGAUACGGGUUGACUUGAGGAAGGUAGGGGAGAAUGGAAUUCCUGGUGGAGCGGUGGAAUGCGCAGAUAUCAGGAGGAACACCAGUGGCGAAGGCGGUUCUCUGGGCCUUUCCUGACGCUGAGGAGCGAGAGCGUGGGGAGCGAACAGGCUUAGAUACCCUGGUAGUCCACGCUGUAAGCGGUGGGUACUAGGUGUGGGGUCCAUUCCACGGGUUCCGUGCCGUAGCUAACGCUUUAAGUACCCCGCCUGGGGAGUACGGCCGCAAGGCUAAAACUCAAAGGAAUUGACGGGGCCCCGCACAAGCGGCGGAGCAUGCGGAUUAAUUCGAUGCAACGCGUAGAACCUUACCUGGGUUUGACAUGGAUCGGGAGUGCUCAGAGAUGGGUGUGCCUCUUUUGGGGUCGGUUCACAGGUGGUGCAUGCCUGUCGUCAGCUCGUGUCGUGAGAUGUUGGGUUAAGUCCCGCAACGAGCGCAACCCUUGUUCACUGUUGCCAGCACGUUAUGGUGGGGACUCAGUGGAGACCGCCGGGGUCAACUCGGAGGAAGGUGGGGAUGACGUCAAGUCCUCAUGCCCCUUAUGUCCAGGGCUUCACGCAUGCUACAAUGGCUGGUACAGAGAGUGGCGAGCCUGUGAGGGUGAGCGAAUCUCGGAAAGCCGGUCUCAGUUCGGAUUGGGGUCUGCAACUCGACCUCAUGAAGUCGGAGUCGCUAGUAAUCGCAGAUCAGCAACGCUGCGGUGAAUACGUUCCCGGG